rnacentral:sRNA from 1 species
CCGGCCAGUUCCUGGGUCGCAGGGGCCUCCAGCGGCCGAGGUCGGCGCUUCGGGCGACGUUGGGCUCCUCCUGGCACCCUGACGUGCAGCAGGCCCAGGCCACGGUUCGCGGAGAGCGUCGGGCGCUAGUCCUCAAGGUCUCCCGGCUCUGCCCUUGCAGAGCUCAGUGGGGGAGACGUGCGUGCGCUUCCCUCGGGCAGGGCCGCUGCCCUCCUCUGCCCUUCACCCCAGACACCCUGGGGCAGUGGGGCCUCCUCUCCUCCGGUUGCUUCUGCUUUUCCUAACCCAGUGCCCUCCCGAGACCACAGGAGACUCAGUCUGGCCACUGUGGCCUCCCCGUGACCAUGACCCAGAGUUUGGACAGCCCUGCAGGGCUGGACGUUUGGCUUUGGCUCAGUUCCUCCACCGUUCCCUUCAUUUAUCCUGUGCAUCUCCCAGGCCUGUGGAUUUUGCUGUGGCCCCAAGCCGGCCCGAAGGCUCUUGGAGAGGUGGUAGGGUCAUGGCCUGAGGCGGUGCUGGGGAGGAGAGCUCGGGCCAGGAGUUCAGGGCAGCUACAGGUGGGGGGGUGCCGAGCCACCCUCAGCCUGCUCCCUGCCUACCUCUCAGACAGGUGUGGAGGCCUGUGGGGACAGGUGUGGAGGCUCCAGCGGGGCGGGGGCUCUCUGGGGCUCCAUCCCAGUGAGUGCCCCUCUCAGCUGAGGAGAAACCGAGAGCGGCGCUGGGGCACCUGAGCCCAGGAAGGCAACAGGCCGGCCGGGACCGCGAGUGCCUGGCGGAGCAGGCGCAGCCCAGGACUCCCGGCUCCCACCUCCGGCUGUAGUCCAGGGCCAAGGCUUGUGUUCAAUCGUGUGAAUGGCCGGCGGGCCCCCUCCACGUCCCCAUCCCUCGAGGGGACCCAGGAGACCUACACACUGGCCCACGAGGAGAAUGUCCGCUUUGUGUCCGAAGGUAGCGAGCGGGGCCAGAGGGUGCGGCAUAGGCUGCUGGGUCGCAAAAACAUGGACCCGGGAUGGCCCCACUUCAAGCUGACCCCCAGCCGCUGCAGGGCUGUGCUUUUCCUUGGCACUCUGCCCUUGUGUCCUGUGACCAGCCCUGUGUGGGGCUGGAGUCCAGGGUGACCAUCAGGCCCUGGGUGGGCGAUGGGGUGCCUGGGACCUGGCUCAGCCCGACUACCCUCCUCCCACAGCCUGGCAGCAGGUGCAGCAGCAGCUGGAUGGUGGCCCAGCCGGUGAGGGCGGGCCAAGGCCUGUGCAGUACGUGGAGAGGAUCCCCAAUCCCCGGCUGCAGAACUUCGUGCCCAUUGACCUAGACGAGUGGUGGGCGCAGCAGUUCCUGGCGAGAAUCACCAGCUGUUCCUAGUGGCUGCUGGGAGGGGGCGCUGCUACACGGCUGACCUGACGCCAGGAGAGAAGCAUGGCGCCCUGCCCACCCACUGCAUCUGGCUGGGUGCCGGCCACACCUGAAGUGCCAGCAUUUGGACUUUUGCACCUGUUUUUCCCUUGGCCCGGCUGUCCCAACCAAGCUGCCAUGGCCAGGGGCCGAGCCCGUCUGACCUCAGCCCUGCUCACUGUGCCCAGGGACCAGCGACCAGCCCCUGGGGCUAGCAGGGAGGAGC